UACUGUAUUGCUGUUCUGAAUUAAGAGCACUAACUUUGCAUACUUAAUACAUAUUUCUUUACCUUAAGGUAUGUGAGUGCCUGCAGGUACGUAGAAACACCUGAUUUCCAUGUUAAGAGGCUUCGUAGCUGACCAUCAGCCCUCGUCUACUGUCCUGCAGAGGGAUGAAUCAAAGCAGGAGAAAAAUACAAUUCAUUGUUCUUGUCACAACAAUGGGGGGACUCGAGUGCUCUCCAAAUAAGGCCAGUUCAGAGAGGUUGCUUCCUGGGGCCAGGAACAACAGGGUUCUGGAGAAAUUUGAUCCUCGAGAGGCAUCCACGAAGAAUGAGACUAAACAUGCUGCAUUUUUCAGAGAAGAUUUUUUUUUUUUUUUUUUUUUGACUUAUGAUAAUCUGUGAGGAUUACUGAUAAUCGGUUUAGUGUAAAGGAGAAAAAACUGAAGGCAUAUAAUUAAUCAUGUUUUUCCUUUCGACAAAAUUGUUGAGAAACCGCAUGCAAAACGAUUUAGUUACACAUUUUAUCCUGUAUUGUAAUAUUGGUUACAAUUCUUAAAUCUGUGACUCCCAUGUGUCAGAUUUGUUUGAUGCAGUUCACAGCAUCCACUCUGUCUGGCCUAGACCCGCAGGCUAUUGGAAGUCCACUAUCCACUCAGAUGUACAUCUUGGCCCAAUCUCUUCCAGAUCCUGCUGUUUUAUGUCUCUUCAGCCAAGCUGCUAGAUAGACCACUGAGAUGCAGAGAAUGAGAAAGAAGGACAGAACCAGAGAGAGACUGAAGGGUAGGUUCUAUCCCUCCAGCAGACCACCAAACGGACUUCCUCCACGCUCCUGUGUUAUUUAUGUGGAGAGAGCUCUGGCCUGUUUCUGCCCCAGGCAGCACGGUGCUUUUAGUAGGGAUCCUCUCAGCCUCCCUCAGCCAGCAAGACAUCACAGGAUGGAAAUAAAUAAAAGUUCUCCUGGUAGAAUCGGAGCAGCCAGUUUUGAAAUUAAAAAAGGAUUUUUUAGUGGGCUUGAAUAACAGCACUGGGGGGGGAAAAAGCGGCCUCUCCGCACUCAGCCGAAGCAGAUAUGAAGAGAUUUCAUUUUUAUUUUUAGGAGGCUAUGUCUGCUAAUCAGAGGCUGUUAUUUAAAAACAACAAUGGAUCGUGAGAAAAAUGGUCUGGAGGAUUUUAAAUGGCAGUGGAUGUUUGAUUGACAGGAUAGAGGGCAGAUGGUAUGUUUGAGGGAAACUAUGACACAAUAAUCUACUCAGAUGCGUUGGAGUUGGGGGGGCUAGUUUGGUUUAGUGCCGUAUGAGUCAUCGGUAGUGCAAGGACAAGCAGAGACACGGCCGUGAGCUUCAAAAAACAAAACAAAUUCACAGCUCGAGAACACCCUGCAAAAAAAGUCACUCCUGACACUGAUGUGACAUCAGAUCACACGCACCCAGGGCCUGGUCAUUGAAAUAUUACAUUUUUGACAUCCUGAAAUGAGCAACCCGACGAGUCACUUUCCGUUAAAGGAACAGCUUGGAAGUAGAAUCCUACACAUCUUAGAUGGUAUUUUUUAUGGAUGAUGGUAUACUGCGAAAGAGAAAGGUGUUGACUGGGCUUCUUGCUAAUUGAGGUAUUCCAUUUAGAGCCAAGCUCUCAUUUGUAAAAACAAGUGUCGCUCGCUGUGUAACCCACACCUCCAAAUAAAUCCAGGAAGCAUAUUUGGAGUUCCUUCCAGGGAGACCUGAUACACCAUGUGUCUGUGGCCAUCGUUGGGUCCUCAGUUUAGCCAAGAUGACAUACAUCAGCCAUACUUUUCAGUGGUUAUUUCUCUUGUCAGAUUCAAUACGUCCCCCAUUCUUUUAACAUGUAUUGUCACGGAUAGAAAGGAGGUGGGGAAUACCACAGAGGAGCGUGGGGAGUUUGGUGGGGGAUAAAAAGGUCUGUCAGAAACGGAGGGAGCAUGCGUUCGUGGUUGGAACCACAGGGGUGACAGCCCGCAUGGAGGCUGCCGGCUCUAGCAUCGGCCAAUGGAAAAGGUCAGCCCCCCUGAGUGGCAUUUGGACUGUGACAGAAGUGACCCAGAAACUGUGUCAUCUCCUGUUCGCAGCGAGGCGUCCAGAGGAGGCCCCGGUAACAUCCACAGGUACAGGUACAGGGCCAGCGUGGAAGAUGGGGGUGGGGUGGGGAGAACAGCAGGGGUGCAGGAGAGGUAGAGGAGGAAGAGACAGUGGAGAGGCAGCGGUGGAUGUAUGAGCACCGGUGACAUUCUAAAAGAUUCGAAAAAUACAGCUGUGGAGGUAGUCCGGGGGAAAAAGGUUAGUUGCAAGAGGCUGGAGACAAAAUUUGAUUCAGUCAAAACAAACCCUGGCUCACCCUUUCCCUUGUCCUCUAUUUGCGAGCACGAUGGCCUGAUGAGAGCUGUCGCAAGCUUGUUAUUAUGAAAUAAGCGCACUUAGGAGGGGGUGGGGCUACUGUACACGGGUGGCGGUGGCCAUGGAGACGAGUGUAGCUAUUAUGGGAUGCACGGACCACAGGCUUUGAUUGGUGCUGAGAGCAGAGCUCGAAUCCAGGGCAUAAUCAGAGCAGCUAAUCCAGUUGAUAACAGCGGGUCUGGCACUGUGCACAGCGACGGCCCUGCACUCAUUCAGAAGUACCCUUGCAUUUGUCAAAACAAGCCUUAUGAUCAUUUAUCACACCACAAUAAAUCCUGGCUUGAAAUCCUAACGCGCAGUUGAGACGACUCCUCCAUUAUGUACAGACUCAGCUUAAUUUUGGAAAUUCUUUGAAAGAGCAGAUGUGAUUGGUUUAUUUUAUUGAAUUGUUGCUACUGGCAACAUAAUAUUUUUGUGCUGGGAAAUUGUAAAGGGCAGGGAUGGAAGCAGCCGUUUAAGCCCGAGAAGAAGAGAAAAGGAAGAAGCAGAGAGGGAGAAGAGAGGAAGAGGUUGACUGGACUUAACUACUUAACUUUUUUCCUUUUUUUUUUGUGAUGCUUUACGAGUAUUUUGUUGGGCCUUCGCUGUGCUGAGCAAUUAACUGUUUGGCUGAAAGCAUGGUGCCAGCUCCAGUGCUCCUCAGCUAGAGCAAUGUGGGUCAUUUAUCACUUUUACAACUCAUUUUCACCCCCAAAACACUCCACUCUGGGGCUGGAUACAACCUCGCUGCUGCCAUGUCCUUGAGUUCCCGGUGACAGGUAAAUAUACACUUCCAUCCAAUCACAUGUCCCGCAUCGUCUAUAUUUGACUUAUGGGAGGUCAGCCUGCAAGGGAUCGAUGCUGCAGUUCAUUUUUAGAGGCCUGAUGAUGUCAUGUUGCAGUGUACCCUGGGUUAUGAGUCCGUGAACCUGUUGCUGCAACAGAAAGCAACAGCCACCGCAGCUGUCUCUGCAUCCCAAAGUUGGUGACAAGUAGAUGAGGCAGCACGUGCGCCGCCGUGAAUUUUUACAUACACUUUGAGAGGGACUUGAAUGAACCGAAUCUUGCUCACUUCUCUACUGUAACUUCAGCAUGUCAGUCCACUGACAACAUCCCCAGUCCCACAGGGAUCAUCAUCGGGUCACACAAGAGAGAAGAAUGAAUGGAGCGAUGUGAUGUUGUCAUUCAAAUGCAAUGGAUCACUUGAACUCCAUUGCCCUGUUGUAAUGACCCUGUGUAAGGACCUGUAAUGUGGUUUUCCCAUUGGGUUUGAGAGAAACCCUACGCCAGGCCAUUCAGGUGCGCAAUAAAGUGCUUUUCACUUUCUGAGGACUUCCUGUCUCCAGUGGCGUUCUCCAUUAACUCCUCACAGACAGACAAGAGCCUUUCUAUUGGCCCAGACACUCUUUAUCGCAGCAGUCAUUCCCCCCAGGUACGGCGCUACCUGGCCCGCAGAUAAGAUAGGAAGCCGGCUGCCUGUCAUUAUUGGCAGAUGAAGGCUAUCUGAAUAUUGACAACAGUUUACACUCCUUGUUGAGAAACAAAGUUGGACUUGUGAGACGGUCGCACACAGGGCUUCUAUUGUUUAGAGGAGAUAUGAAAACCCAGGCUCCCUGUGGUCACACACCCAAAUAGCCUUAUGUCACAGCUUGCCUCCCCCUCUCCAACCUCCCUCCCCCACCUCCCCCUCCUCCUCCUCCUGCUCCUGCUCCUCUUCAGUUGGCUACUAUUUAUUCCCACCAGCUGUAGUGAUGUACUAAAAAAGUUCUUGACACCAGCUAUUGCUUUUCAUCACUGCAGCUUCCCUCUGCUAACAGGAGGCCAUGCUAGCAUUUUCCUUACUCUCUCAUAGGCUGCGUGCUGGUGGAAAUACUCGCAUGUAAAAUAGCAACACACACACAUCACACACAUGAGAUGUAAGGGAUGAAAUGUCUCUGUGAUUCCCAACAUUAUCAACUGUGGAGUUAUUAGGCAUAAAAAAAUUUUAAAAAUGCAAUUAUAAAUUGAACCAAAAAGAAAAUCAGUCACGUUCAUGUGUGGAAACGUUUCUUUUGAAAUAACACCGUGGAUGCGUUUACGUGUUUUAUCAUGUAAUCCGCACAGAAAGUCACGUCCACAGCUUUCAGUCGUUGCGCAUACUCAACGUUUCAUCGAAAUUUAUUUUACCCAUUUGAUAUUACUGCGUCACGUCUACAAAAGGACGCGAUAUUGGUCUCUGCCACCCCCAAAAAAUAAGAUAAAAUGGAUCAAAAAAUAAUUAUCGAUCAUCACUGCUUUUUCUUUUGUUUUGUUUGUUUGUUUUUUUAAUAGCUGCUUUCUCCUUUCGGGUCAAUAACUUAAAACCGAUAAUUCCCCGAAGUUGCUUUGUGUCAUGGAGAUUAUCACAAUUUGUCAGUCGGAGUUAAAAUUGUCGAAAAUAUUGACAGCCGUUUUCACUUUUAGACAAAUAUUCUUGGCUUCUCUCGUUCUUUCCUUUUUUUCGAUUUAAACAUGUCGUCAGCCUUUUCGUUUGUACUUGAAAGGCAAAU